UGGGGAAUUUUGGACAAUGGGCGAAAGCCUGAUCCAGCAAUGCCGCGUGUGUGAAGAAGGCCUUCGGGUUGUAAAGCACUUUUGUCCUGAAAGAAAUCCUUGGCUCUAAUACAGUCGGGGGAUGACGGUACCGGAAGAAUAAGCACCGGCUAACUACGUGCCAGCAGCCGCGGUAAUACGUAGGGUGCAAGCGUUAAUCGGAAUUACUGGGCGUAAAGCGUGCGCAGGCGGUUUGCUAAGACCGAUGUGAAAUCCCCGGCGUCAACCUGGGAACUGCAUUGGUGACUGGCAGGCUAGAGUAUGGCAGAGGGGGGUAGAAUUCCACGUGUAGCAGUGAAAUGCGUAGAGAUGUGGAGGAAUACCGAUGGCGAAGGCAGCCCCCUGGGCCAAGUACUGACGCUCAUGCACGAAAGCGUGGGGAGCAAACAGGAUUAGAUACCCUGGUAGUCCACGCCCUAAACGAUGCUCAACUAGUUGUUGGGGAUUCAUUUCCUUAGGUAACGUAGCUAACGCGUGAAGUUGACCGCCUGGGGAGUACGGUCGCAAG
rnacentral:rRNA from 1 species